AUUGAACGCUGGCGGCAUGCCUUACACAUGCAAGUCGAACGGUAACGGGCCUUCGGGUGCCGACGAGUGGCGAACGGGUGAGUAAUACAUCGGAACGUGCCCGAUCGUGGGGGAUAACGAGGCGAAAGCUUUGCUAAUACCGCAUACGAUCUACGGAUGAAAGCAGGGGACCGCAAGGCCUUGCGCGGACGGAGCGGCCGAUGGCAGAUUAGGUAGUUGGUGGGAUAAAAGCUUACCAAGCCGACGAUCUGUAGCUGGUCUGAGAGGAUGUUCAGCCACACUGGGACUGAGACACGGCCCAGACUCCUACGGGAGGCAGCAGUGGGGAAUUUUGGACAAUGGGCGCAAGCCUGAUCCAGCCAUGCCGCGUGCAGGAUGAAGGCCUUCGGGUUGUAAACUGCUUUUGUACGGAACGAAAAGCCUUCUUUUAAUACAGGAGGGUCAUGACGGUACCGUAAGAAUAAGCACCGGCUAACUACGUG
rnacentral:rRNA from 1 species